rnacentral:lncRNA from 1 species
UGUAGCGAGCCAGGGGUGACUAACCCAACAGAAAACAAAAUUUAAUCUCUGAAUUCCAACCCUUUGGAAAAGUAUAAAACUCAAGACUAUAGGACUAUUACUGACAAGACUGAAUAUUCUAUGACUAAAGGUUCUCCUGUUUCGAUACAAUCCGGACAAUCAGAUUAUGCUGUCCUGGUGAAAAGAACACCAAACAAGUUUUGAAGUUUCCAUAUAUUUAUUUAUUUUUCUAUACUAUAGGUCAUGAAGUUUACAUCAAAUAUGUAUUUGAGAAUACAAUAUAAGGAUACAGUAAUUACAUAAUAAAAUUUCUAGCACCUCUAAACCAGUCUCAGAGCUCUCAAUAAAAAUGAAGAACUCUAAUCUUUUGACAAUUUAUCAAUUCUAUAAGGUAUUAUUAAAUGUGUUGUAAUACGUGGAAAAAUAGGAGGUUAUGAUCUCUGGUCUCAUAUAGUACUGUUGGUAGUACUAUAUAAGAAUUUGUUCUGAUAUAUACGUGAACCUUUACAUGGUUGAGUCUUGCUAUAUAAAUUACUUAUUUAACUACAAUUUCUAUAAAUAUAAAGUUUAAUAAUUUGUGCAGAAGUUAAUCAGAAACCUUUUCUGAUUUAGAUAAAUAAGUUUAGGAAACUGAUUCCUUAUCAGUUCAAAAUAUGUUAAAUAACUAUCAGGUCCUUCCUGAUAUAAAAACAAAAAAAAUGUUUAAAGAAAUACUGUCAAGUCCUUACUUAGACAGCAUUCUAUAAAAUCAAGGCAACUGCCAGGUCCUUCCUGAAACAGUACCUAUAUUAAGUUAACAGUUAGAUCCUUUCUAACUGUUAACGAAUUUAAAUAUGGUUUCCAAACCUUAUGGAAACCAUAAUUCCUAAUUCCAAAGAUUGCCUAUUUAUUCCUAUUUAAAGUGUUUUAAAAUUUACAAACA